GCUGCUUGCCAUCCUUAGCAGACCCUUAGAUGACGUCAGAGAAACAACAUUGGAAAGAGUGCAUCUGUGCCCUAACUGGGAGGCCACUUUAACUUAGAAUGGAAGUAAGCGUUCAACUUGACAUGUUUUUGAAAGCAUUUUUCUUAAUGAUUCAUUGGGAUGUAAAGUGCAGUUGAAAAGCUUUUUAGGAUGGGGUCCCAACCAAGCAUGAUGGAAGGUUUGAUGGCAGUGAAUCUCAAAAUUUGCACACACAGCAUGGUGGAGGUAAAUUGGGAAAUUCAAUUCAGCUCUAGUAUUCAGGGUCAAGAAGCUGAUGAUGCCAUACUGAGAGGCUCCCCCACAAAUUUGUGAGGUUUUGAGGACUUUUCUAAGCACAUAGCUAUUUGUGGGAAAUUGACUUGUGUAUUCUAGGCCAAAGAACAAAAAGCAUCUCCAUUAUGAGAAUCCAAAACAUCUUUUUAUUUUAUCCAAACAUUUGUUUUAAAUACAUUCAUUACAAAGACUACAGUGAAGCGAAGUAAGCUUGCCUCUGAUGACACCUCACCCCUUUUCAGACACCUUCACUCAGAGUCGUUGUAUUUUCUAUCUCCAGCACAAUCUCCCUGCACUCCGAGUGCUCAAGGUUACACCAAGUAAAAUCUCCUUUUUGUCCUUA